rnacentral:rRNA from 1 species
AUACGGAAGGUCCGGGCGUUAUCCGGAUUUAUUGGGUUUAAAGGGAGCGCAGGCGGAGAUGCAAGCGUGACGUCAAAUUUCGGGGCUCAACCCCGUCUCGCGUCGCGAACUGCGUCCCUUGGUUGCGGGAAGGGGAGGCGGAACUCGUGGUGUAGCGGCGAAAUGCAUAGAUAUCACGAAGAACUCCGAUCGCGAAGGCAGCCUUCCGGCCCGUCAACGACGCUCAUGCUCGAAGGUGCGGGUAUCAAACAGGAUUAGAUACCCUGGUAGUCCGCACAGUAAACGAUGGACACCCGCGGUUUGGCCUGUAUGGCUGAGCCGCCAAGCGAAAGCGUUAAGUGUCCCACCUGGGGAGUACGCCGGCAACGGUGAAACUCAAAUGAAUUGGCGGGG